AUGAGUAUAGCUCAGUGGUAGAGCAUAUGCUUAGCAUGCACGAGGCCCUGUGUUCAAUCCCCAGUACUUCCA
rnacentral:tRNA from 1 species